GAGACUCUGUGCGCGUGCAUAUCAAUAAGCGGAGGAAAAGAAACUAACAAGGAUUCCCUUAGUAACGGCGAGUGAAGCGGGAAGAGCUCAAAUUUGAAAUCUUCAAGGUUCUACCUUGACGAAUUGUAGUUUAUAGAAGUGUUUUCUGUAGUGAGUUUGGUAAAAGUUCUUUGGAAUAGGACAUCAUAGAGGGUGAGAAUCCCGUAUUUGAUCCAGUUACUUUCCAGCUGUGUGAUACACUUUCAAAGAGUCGGAUUGUUUGGGAAUGCAGUCCAAAAUGGGUGGUAAAUUUCAUCUAAAGCUAAAUAUUGGCGAGAGACCGAUAGCGAGCAAGUACCGUGAGGGAAAGAUGAAAAGAACUUUGAAAAGAGAGUUAAACAGUACGUGAAAUUGUCAAAAGGGAAGCGUUUGACACCAGUGUUGUUUUUCCGAAAAUCAAUUACGAAUGUUUUAUUUUUGAGGAGUUAUGACUUCAUCGGCUUGCUUCUCUCUUUAUGAAACUUUCUUAAUGCACUUUUCGGUUAACAAGUCAACAUCAAUAUCUUUUGUUGUAAAAGGGUAUGAGGAGGGUGGCUUUCUUUUCGGAGAAAGUGUUUAUAGCCUUGUGCCUCUGCAAUCGGAGAGAUUGAGGUCUGCAGCGUAGAUCCUUCGGGGUUAGAUACAUUUGUGCUAAGUUAUAGCUUUUCAUAGACAACUUGUUGACUAUGUUUAGUCUUGUAGCUUACUCGCUUAUGCUAUUUUACCUACGCUUAGGAUGUUGACAGCAGUAUAGACUGU
rnacentral:rRNA from 1 species